rnacentral:rRNA from 1 species
UACAGAGGUCCCAAGCGUUGUUCGGAUUCACUGGGCGUAAAGGGUGCGCAGGUGGUCGGGUAAGUCUGACGUGAAAUCCCGCAGCUUAAACUGCGGAAUGGCAUUGGAUACUAUUCGGCUAGAGGGUUGGAGGGGGGACUGGAAUUCUCGGUGUAGCAGUGAAAUGCGUAGAUAUCGAGAGGAACACCAGUGGCGAAGGCGACACCCUGGACC